GGUUGUAUGGAGUAGUUGGUUAACUUAGGAGAUUCUGAUUGUUCGGGCUUUGAGCUCAUCAAUACGAUUCGACUUCUCUUGCCCUGGGUUCGAAUCCCAGUACGACCU
rnacentral:tRNA from 1 species